UACGUAGGGCGCAAGCGUUAUCCGGAAUUAUUGGGCGUAAAAGAGCUCGUAGGCGGUUUGUCGCGUCUGCCGUGAAAAGUCCGGGGCUCAACUCCGGAUCUGCGGUGGGUACGGGCAGACUAGAGUGAUGUAGGGGAGACUGGAAUUCCUGGUGUAGCGGUGAAAUGCGCAGAUAUCAGGAGGAACACCGAUGGCGAAGGCAGGUCUCUGGGCAUUAACUGACGCUGAGGAGCGAAAGCAUGGGGAGCGAACAGG
rnacentral:rRNA from 1 species